CCUACGGGCGGCAGCAGUGGGGAAUAUUGGACAAUGGGGGCAACCCUGAUCCAGCCAUGCCGCGUGUGUGAAGAAGGCCCUCGGGUUGUAAAGCACUUUCAGUGAGGAAGAACGCCUGGUGGUUAAUACCCAUCAGGAAAGACAUCACUCACAGAAGAAGCACCGGCUAACUCCGUGCCAGCAGCCGCGGUAAUACGGAGGGUGCGAGCGUUAAUCGGAAUUACUGGGCGUAAAGCGCGCGUAGGUGGCUUGAUAAGCCGGUUGUGAAAGCCCCGGGCUCAACCUGGGAACGGCAUCCGGAACUGUCAAGCUAGAGGGCAGGAGAGGAAGGUAGAAUUCCCGGUGUAGCGGUGAAAUGCGUAGAGAUCGGGAGGAAUACCAGUGGCGAAGGCGGCCUUCUGGACUGACACUGACACUGAGGUGCGAAAGCGUGGGUAGCAAACAGGAUUAGAUACCCCAGUAGUC
rnacentral:rRNA from 1 species